GGUUAACCGAAUAGGGGAGCCGGAGGGAAACCGAGUCUUAAUUGGGCGUUAAGUUGCAGGGUAUAGACCCGAAACCCGGUGAUCUAGCCAUGGGCAGGUUGAAGGUUGGGUAACACUAACUGGAGGACCGAACCGACUAAUGUUGAAAAAUUAGCGGAUGACCUGUGGCUGGGGGUGAAAGGCCAAUCAAACCGGGAGAUAGCUGGUUCUCCCCGAAAGCUAUUUAGGUAGCGCCUCGUGAAUUCAUCUCCGGGGGUAGAGCACUGUUUCGGCUAGGGGGCCAUCCCGGCUUACCAACCCGAUGCAAACUGCGAAUACCGGAGAAUGUUAUCACGGGAGACACACGGCGGGUGCUAACGUCCGUCGUGAAGAGGGAAACAACCCAGACCGCCAGCUAAGGUCCCAAAGUCAUGGUUAAGUGGGAAACGAUGUGGGAAGGCCCAGACAGCCAGGAUGUUGGCUUAGAAGCAGCCAUCAUUUAAAGAAAGCGUAAUAGCUCACUGGUCGAGUCGGCCUGCGCGGAAGAUGUAACGGGGCUAAACCAUGCACCGAAGCUGCGGCAGCGACGCUGAUGCGUUGUUGGGUAGGGGAGCGUUCUGUAAGCCUGCGAAGGUGGCCUGUGAGGGUUGCUGGAGGUAUCAGAAGUGCGAAUGCUGACAUAAGUAACGAUAAAGCGGGUGAAAAGCCCGCUCGCCGGAAGACCAAGGGUUCCUGUCCAACGUUAAUCGGGGCAGGGUGAGUCGACCCCUAAGGCGAGGCCGAAAGGCGUAGUCGAUGGGAAACGGGUUAAUAUUCCCGUACUUGGUGUUACUGCGAAGGGGGGACGGAGAAGGCUAUGUUGGCCGGGCGACGGUU
rnacentral:rRNA from 1 species